rnacentral:rRNA from 1 species
UACGGAGGGAGCUAGCGUUGUUCGGAAUUACUGGGCGUAAAGCGCACGUAGGCGGCUUUGUAAGUUAGAGGUGAAAGCCCGGGGCUCAACUCCGGAACUGCCUUUAAGACUGCAUCGCUUGAAUCCAGGAGAGGUGAGUGGAAUUCCGAGUGUAGAGGUGAAAUUCGUAGAUAUUCGGAAGAACACCAGUGGCGAAGGCGGCUCACUGGACCCGGCAUUGACG